rnacentral:rRNA from 1 species
UACGUAGGGUGCGAGCGUUGUCCGGAAUUAUUGGGCGUAAAGAGCUUGUAGGCGGUCUGUCGCGUCUGCUGUGAAAAUCCGGGGCUCAACCCCGGACUUGCAGUGGGUACGGGCAGACUAGAGUGUGGUAGGGGAGACUGGAAUUCCUGGUGUAGCGGUGAAAUGCGUAGAUAUCCGGAAGAACACCGAUGGCGAAGGCAACCACCUGGGCCUGUACUGACGCUGAGGUACGAAAGCGUGGGGAGCAAACAGG